GCCAGGUAUGGUGACUCAUCCCUGUAAUCCCAGAAACUUGGGAAGCUGAGGCAGGAGGAUUGCAAUUUGAGGCCAACUGGACAACUUAGCAGGACCCUGUCUCAA
rnacentral:sRNA from 1 species